CUCAGAGUUCAACUACGCUGUAUGACAUCCAGCAUCAAUAUCGAAUUGAUAAAAUAUCGAGUGUGAGCAUGCAUAAACGUUGAAGAUGCCGUUUGAUGCCGCGAAGACAGGAGCUUCGACAUGGACCAUUCAGCCAGGACAAUUCUACUCUCCUUAGUUCUUGUCUGCCUCACCUACAUUGGCGCCAAUCUUCCCCUCAUUUACUCGGCCUGGUUUGUCCCAAUUAAAGCAUCUCCUCCAACUCCUUCUCCCUCUCCUCCAUCUCCGCCUCGUCUUUCUCAUUCGCCGUAUGUGCGCGCUCUUCAUCGAGUCUUUUCUUCUUUACCUUUACUGCCUUUAUCUGAGCUCUUCCCCCUUGUCACACACUUUUGCAAAGCUGUCACUUUGAUAUGCCCUAUCGUCUCUGUUUGCCUGGCCCACAUUCCAUGUUCUCUCUUUAAACGUUGUGUUAUCCUCUGUGUUGUUUACCUACCGGCCAUUUUUAUGCUUAUCUCUCAUCCUUCUACUUCAUUAACAGACGCAUCAUGUCCUCCACCACCCACGCCUGUUCCCUGUCCUCCGCCAACCUUUGUUCCUGAUUUUUACCUUCUCAUGCUUCAGAAUGUCCUUGUGUCUUUCCUCCCUUUCUUCUUCUUCUAUUGGCUAUGGUCCCUCUCUACAAAGGACAGAAAUGCUCGGCAAGCAGAAACUGCUAUUUGUGAACCUACCAGAGAGCUGCAGGCUGAGAAUGGGAGGGUCGGGCGGGCGGUCCCGGUCCCGGAGGACCGCUCUGACCAGCCGGCCCGCACCCUGGCCGGAGUCCGGGAGGAGCUGGACUGCCCCGUGUGUCUGGAGCUGCUCCGGAGAGCCACCACCCUGGGCUGCGGCCACACCUUCUGCAGUGCGUGUCUGUGGCAGACGCGGACACAGCUCGGCAAAGUCUGUCCGCUCUGUCGGCAGCGCAUCAAGUUCUACAAGGAAUCCGUCACGAUAGAAAAUGUCAUCCGGAGGAUAAGUCAGAGGUACUGAUCUACAUAGAAGUGUGCGACCCGGAUGAAUUGAUUGCCUUUGGCACUAUGUAUGUAGUGAGUUACAUUAUUGAAACUUAAAUCAGAUUCUGCUCGCAGCCAAGCGAACUCGUAUAUACUGGGUAGUGGGUAUAGUGCCUUUGUUGUCACUGGAUGAAGGGGAUUUGAAGUGCGUGUGUUGAAAAGUGUGUUGUAAGGGAACGGUUCCCUCGUUUAUGUGGAGAUUAUCGUUUAAAUGAGGCUCCAUGACUAUAAGCAAAUGUGUGUACCGCUUCUUCCAAAUAAAACCAUUCUAAGAUGUA